rnacentral:rRNA from 1 species
GCAUGCCUACAACAUAGUGUUAAUGCACCAGAUCCCAUUAGAACCUCAUAGUUAAGUGCACUCAGGAUAGAGUAGUACUGGGAUGGGUGACUGCCUGGGAAGUCCUAGUGUUUUACAUGCC